rnacentral:rRNA from 1 species
UACGAAGGGGGCUAGCGUUGCUCGGAAUCACUGGGCGUAAAGCGCACGUAGGCGGAUCUUUAAGUCAGGGGUGAAAUCCUGGAGCUCAACUCCAGAACUGCCUUUGAUACUGAGGGUCUUGAGUCCGGGAGAGGUGAGUGGAACUGCGAGUGUAGAGGUGAAAUUCGUAGAUAUUCGCAAGAACACCAGUGGCGAAGGCGGCUCACUGGCCCGGUACUGACGCUGAGGUGCGAAAGCGUGGGGAGCAAACAGG